UACGAAGGGUGCAAGCGUUAAUCGGAAUUACUGGGCGUAAAGCGUGUGUAGGCGGUUUCUUAAGUCUGCUGUGAAAUCCCCGGGCUCAACCUGGGAAUGGCAGUGGAUACUGGGAAGCUAGAGUGUGAUAGAGGAUGGUGGAAUUCCCGGUGUAGCGGUGAAAUGCGUAGAGAUCGGGAGGAACAUCAGUGGCGAAGGCGGCCAUCUGGAUCAACACUGACGCUGAGACACGAAAGCGUGGGGAGCAAACAGG
rnacentral:rRNA from 1 species